GGGCUUGUGGUUUAGUGGUAUAAUACUCCCUUAGCACCUGAUGGUCUAGCAUCAUCUAUAUCAAAAGAUAGCCAUUCAGUUACUCUUAGGAUAUAACCCGCUUGGGAGUGGUCCGGGGUUCGAUUCCCCGCGAGUCCA